rnacentral:rRNA from 1 species
AGUGAACGCUGGCGGCAGGCCUAACACAUGCAAGUCGAGCGGCAGCGCGGGGGCAACCCUGGCGGCGAGCGGCGGACGGGUGAGGAAUUCGUCGGAAUCUGCCUUUUUGUGGGGGAUAACGUAGGGAAACUUACGCUAAUACCGCAUACGUCCUACGGGAGAAAGUGGGGGACCGCAAGGCCUCACGCAGAAAGAUGAGCCGACGACCGAUUAGCUAGUUGGCGGGGUAAAGGCCCACCAAGGCGACGAUCGGUAGCUGGUCUGAGAGGAUGAUCAGCCACACUGGGACUGAGACACGGCCCAGACUCCUACGGGAGGCAGCAGUGGGGAAUAUUGGACAAUGGGCGCAAGCCUGAUCCAGCCAUGCCGCGUGUGUGAAGAAGGCCUUCGGGUUGUAAAGCACUUUUGUCCGGAAAGAAAUCCCUGGAGCUAAUACCUUCGGGGGAUGACGGUACCGGAAGAAUAAGCACCGGCUAACUUCGUG